rnacentral:rRNA from 1 species
GGUUUUAUGUGUUUAUAUUUAAAAUCUGGCCUGCUCGAUGUUAAAUUAAUGGCCGCGGUAUAUUGACCGUGCGAAGGUAGCAUAAUGAUUAGGCUAUUAAUUGUGGUCUUGUAUGAAAGGUUGGACAUAGGAAAAACUUUCUUAUAUGUAUUGUUGAAAUUGAAUAGUUAGUAAAAAUGCUGACGUGGUUUAAAAAGACGAGAAGACCCUAUUGAGUUUUAUAUUUAUUUUGUUGAAUAUAUUUGGUUGGGGUGACUUUUAAGGAACAUUUGGUUUUAGUGAUCCAUUAUUAAUGAUUAAUAGAAUAAAUUACCAUAGGGAUAACAGCAUAAUUUAUUUGGAGAGUUCUUAUUGAUAAAUAAGUUUGUGACCUCGAUGUUGGAUUAAGAUUCCUGUUAGGUGUAGGUGCUUAAUAAGGUAGACUGUUCGUCUAUUAAAAUCUUACA